rnacentral:lncRNA from 12 species
CAGCUUCUGGAGAGCAGAACGGGGUCUUGGCUGCCCAAUGGGAUGUCCUGUGGAAGCAGGCACUGCCAGUCCAGAGGGACAGCAGGCAUGUCUUGGGCAGCUUUGCCUGCGGCUGGUGGCAGUGGCUGGACUCGCUGCGGUGGGAACAGGACCAGGUGGAGCCCAAGCUGAACCACUCUGAGAAGUUUGUGCAGGAAUUGAGGUGCCAGUGAGUGAGGAGAAACUACCAUCAGGACAAGAGCUCCAACUGCUGCACUAAAGGGACUCUUGGCUUGGGCAGGAGGCUUCCAAGAAACUGAGAUACGAGCAAGAAAUGAACAAAUGCACCACUGCUGAGAGUGACUUCAUGUUGCUGAAGAAGGACAUGGAAUUUGUCCAUCUGAUCAAGGCUGGAAGCAAAGGUGGAAACUCUAAGGCAGGAGACGGAGUUCCUGAAAAGUAUUUCUGCUCAGAGCUUGAGGAGGAAAAGAGGAGGCACUUCAAGAAGCUGAAGUCCCACCAGUGAGAGAUGAAAAAGCUGAGUUUUGUGAUCAGAGAAGGCAACGUGACCUGGAAAACAUGAAGGAACAGGUGGGAUGGAUAGGAUUUACUGUCUGGAUCCUCUGUGUCACAUCCCAAGUUGUGUUUUCUACACCUUUGUG